UACGUAGGUGGCAAGCGCUGUCCGGAUUUACUGGGCGUAAAGAGCGCGCAGGCGGUCGAAUAAGUCGAAUGUGAAAGCCCCCGGCUCAACUGGGGAGGGUCAUUCGAUACUGUCCGACUUGAAGGCAGGAGAGAGAAGCAGAAUUCCCGGUGUAGUGGUGAAAUGCGUAGAGAUCGGCAGGAACACCCAGGGGGAAACCAGUCGACUGGGCAGCACCUGACGCUGAGGUGCGAGAGCGUGGGGAGCGAACCGG
rnacentral:rRNA from 1 species